rnacentral:lncRNA from 1 species
GCUGCAUUAUUGCGGUGAUCUAGUGGCACCCACUCCCAAGACCUCCAAUUUGCUAUUUGUUCUUUGUGGAUUUGAAGUGAUGGCAGCGACGAGUUUGGGGUUUUUUUUAUUGGAUGGUGAUUGUGGUGUGGUGGAUGUAGAGAUGUAUAUUUUUUGUUCUUUCUGGUGAUUGUUUUGAUUGUUGAGUUGUUAUUGGCGGUAGUGGUAGUGCAGUAGUGGUGGUGGAUAGUGUUAGAGUUGGUUGUUGGUGGUUGGAGAUCUGAUAAAGGUGAUUGUCGUGAUUUUUGUUGGUAGAUUGGAUCUGGUGGUGGCGAUGGCAGUGACGGGGUGAGUAUUGUCACAAGUGGCUGUGGUGACAGUAGUUGUGGUGAUAGUGUUGGUGGUGAUGGUCUGUGACCCACUAUUUGGUAUAUGUGACCAGCUAUUUAGUAUACUUGUGAAC